rnacentral:sRNA from 1 species
UUAAGCACCCCCCGCUGCCAUCGGCAGCGGGGGGUGCUUUUUUUUUGAAU